rnacentral:rRNA from 1 species
UGGGGAGUUUUGGACAAUGGGGGAAACCCUGAUCCAGCCAUCCCGCGUGUGCGAUGAAGGCCUUCGGGUUGUAAAGCACUUUUGGCAGGAAAGAAACGUCAUGGGUUAAUACCCCGUGAAACUGACGGUACCUGCAGAAUAAGCACCGGCUAACUACGUGCCAGCAGCCGCGGUAAUACGUAGGGUGCAAGCGUUAAUCGGAAUUACUGGGCGUAAAGCGUGCGCAGGCGGUUCGGAAAGAAAGAUGUGAAAUCCCAGAGCUCAACUUUGGAACUGCAUUUUUAACUACCGGGCUAGAGUGUGUCAGAGGGAGGUGGAAUUCCGCGUGUAGCAGUGAAAUGCGUAGAUAUGCGGAGGAACACCGAUGGCGAAGGCAGCCUCCUGGGAUAACACUGACGCUCAUGCACGAAAGCGUGGGGAGCAAACAGG